CGAGCAGGGUGCAUCUCAGGCAUAUAUGCAUUGCUUGUACAAUUAGAAUACAUUUAUUAAUAUAAUUAUGCCAGUAUCAGCACUAUUCUGAAAGGGAGAUAAUCCUUUGCUUUUAUUUCGUUCCGAAAUUGAUGGCAUAUAACACUCUCGCAGGUUCAGGAACAUAGCACAUAAUGUACGCGGAUGAAAAAUGUUCUCCUAGAACAGGGGCAGUAAAUAAGGUCUUUAGGAGGCUGGGAGACGAUAACUGGCGAAUGUCAAGGGAGCGCGCUAGGGGUCUCAUGGCGUCGAAUCAGCCCCUCGCAUAGACCACACAGAUGCCUGCGAUAAGACAUCCGUUGUCUCUUUCCUCUGAUAAUUUGUCUGACGGAGCUUAAAGAGGACAGAGGCGAGUGAAAGGAUUGACCUUUCCCUUUCUUUGUGGCUUCCGCGUCGCCAGCUUUUUUUGGCUCUUUGGCUUUUAUCUGAAGAGUCAGGCGCACGCUCAUCAUUAACCAACUGAAUGAUGAAUAUGAAAAUAUCAACACAUUUAUCCUCCAGGGCCUGUUUUGUGGAUGUCUAAACCUUUAAUAUGGCAAUCUAAUUAAAAUAUAGAGUAGAACUUUACAAAAUGAUAAGUUGUGCUGCACUUGUAUUUUUAACUUCCCAAAAUACCACAUUAGUAACAACAGAAAAUUCAUACUAAUGACUCCCUUCUUGAUAAACUGAGCAAAUUCUCUUACAAAUAUGAAUGUGACCACCAGUAUUAAGCUACUACCCAUAGAUGUCCGACCACCAGGGUUAAGAUACCACUACAGCUGUCUAACUGCCGGUGUAAAGAUACUACUCGCGCAUGUCUGACCACCAGUGUUAAGCAACUACCUGCAGAUGGCCAAACUACUGCACAACCCAGGAUACCAUCUCUAAAACCAUUUGUAACUCAGUAUCCAUGGCUGAACUCAUCUGAUCUCCAAGCAACCUUUGUUU